rnacentral:rRNA from 1 species
GACAGAGGGUGCAAACGUUGCUCGGAAUCACUGGGCGUAAAGGGCGUGUAGGCGGGGAGGUAAGUCGGGCGUGAAAGCCCUGGGCUCAACCUGGGAAUUGCAUUGGAUACUGGCAGGCUAGAGUGCGGUAGAGGAUGGCGGAAUUCCCGGUGUAGCAGUGAAAUGCGUAGAGAUCGGGAGGAACAUCUGUGGCGAAGGCGGCCAUCUGGACCAGCACUGACACUGAGGCACGAAAGCGUGGGGAGCAAACAGG